AUUGAACGCUGGCGGCAGGCCUAACACAUGCAAGUCGAACGGUAACAGGAAGAAGCUUGCUUCUUUGCUGACGAGUGGCGGACGGGUGAGUAAUGUCUGGGAAACUGCCUGAUGGAGGGGGAUAACUACUGGAAACGGUAGCUAAUACCGCAUGACGUCGCAAGACCAAAAAGGGGGACCUUCGGGCCUCUUGCCAUCGGAUGUGCCCAGAUGGGAUUAGCUAGUAGGUGGGGUAACGGCUCACCUAGGCGACGAUCCCUAGCUGGUCUGAGAGGAUGACCAGCCACACUGGAACUGGGACACGGUCCAGACUCCUACGGGAGGCAGCAGUGGGGAAUAUUGCACAAUGGGCGCAAGCCUGAUGCAGCCAUGCCGCGUGUAUGAAGAAGGCCUUCGGGUUGUAAAGUACUUUCAGCGGGGAGGAAGGGAGUAAAGUUAAUACCUUUGCUCAUUGACGUUACCCGCAGAAGAAGCACCGGCUAACUCCGU
rnacentral:rRNA from 1 species